GAUGAACGCUGGCGGCGUGCCUAAUACAUGCAAGUCGAGCGAACAGACGAGAGUGCUUGCACUCUCUGACGUUAGCGGCGGACGGGUGAGUAACACGUGGGUAACCUACCUAUAAGACUGGGAUAACUUCGGGAAACCGGAGCUAAUACCGGAUAAUAUUUAGCUUCGCAUGAAGCAAUAGUGAAAGACGGUUCUGCUGUCACUUAUAGAUGGACCCGCGGUGUAUUAGCUGGUUGGUGAGGUAACGGCUCACCAAGGCAACGAUACAUAGCCGACCUGAGAGGGUGAUCGGCCACACUGGGACUGAGACACGGCCCAGACUCCUACGGGAGGCAGCAGUAGGGAAUCUUCCGCAAUGGACGAAAGUCUGACGGAGCAAUGCCGCGUGAGUGAAGAAGGUUUUCGGAUCGUAAAACUCUGUUGUAAGGGAAGAACAAGUACGUUAGUAACUGAACGUACCUUGACGGUACCUGACCAGAAAGCCACGGCUAACUACGUG
rnacentral:rRNA from 1 species